UCAUGGUUGUCGUCAGCUCGUGUCGUGAGAUGUUGGGUUAAGUCCCGCAACGAGCGCAACCCCUAUUGUUAGUUGCCAUCAUUCAGUUGGGCACUCUAGCGAGACUGCCGGUAAUAAACCGGAGGAAGGUGGGGAUGACGUCAAAUCAUCAUGCCCCUUAUGACCUGGGCUACACACGUGCUACAAUGGUUGGUACAACGAGUUGCGAGUCGGUGACGGCGAGCUAAUCUCUUAAAGCCAAUCUCAGUUCGGAUUGUAGGCUGCAACUCGCCUACAUGAAGUCGGAAUCGCUAGUAAUCGCGGAUCAGCACGCCGCGGUGAAUACGUUCCCGGGCCUU
rnacentral:rRNA from 1 species